rnacentral:rRNA from 1 species
UACGUAGGGGGCAAGCGUUAUCCGGAUUUAUUGGGUUUAAAGGGUGCGCAGGCGGCGAGUUAAGUCAGCGGUAAAAUUUCGGGGCUCAACCCCGACAAGCCGUUGAAACUGGCUUGCUAGAGUGGGCGAGAAGUAUGCGGAAUGCGCGGUGUAGCGGUGAAAUGCAUAGAUAUCGCGCAGAACUCCGAUUGCGAAGGCAGCAUGCCGGCUCCACACUGACGCUGAGGCACGAAAGCGUGGGUAUCGAACAGG